CGGCCGAUCUCCCAACCCUUUGUCUACUUGACCAUCGUUGCUUCGGCGAGCCCGUCCUCACGGACCGCCGGGGGGUCUUUGUACCCCUUGGCCCGCGCUCGUCGAUAGCCCCCAAAUUUAAAAAAUCUUAACUAAACGUGUCUUGAAUCUAAGUAUUAUUGUUAAAUAAAAACAAAACUUUCAACAACGGAUCUCUUGGUUCUGGCAUCGAUGAAGAACGCAGCGAAAUGCGAUAAGUAAUGCGAAUUGCAGAAUUCCAGUGAGUCAUCGAAUCUUUGAACGCACAUUGCGCCCUUUGGUAUUCCGAAGGGCAUGCCUGUUCGAGCGUCAUUAUCACCCCUCAAGCCCUCGGCUUGGUGUUGGACGGUUUGGUGGAGACCCCCCUCGGGUGGGCUUCUACCCCUCCCAAAGACAAUGACGGCGGCCUCGUUGGACCCCCGGUACACUGAGUUCUUCACGGGACACGUAUCGGACACAUGGGUUUACGGGACACGGUCUGCCUCCCCUCAGGGAGAAUCUUUUUUUAUCAAGGUUGACCUCGGAUCAGGUAGGGAUACCCGCUGAACUUAAGCAUAUCAAUA
rnacentral:rRNA from 1 species